rnacentral:rRNA from 1 species
UACGUAGGGUGCGAGCGUUGUCCGGAUUUAUUGGGCGUAAAGAGCUCGUAGGCGGUUCGGCAAGUCGGGUGUGAAAACUCCAGGCUCAACCUGGAGACGCCACCCGAUACUGCUGUGACUCGAGUCCGGUAGGGGACCACGGAAUUCCUGGUGUAGCGGUGAAAUGCGCAGAUAUCAGGAGGAACACCGGUGGCGAAGGCGGUGGUCUGGGCCGGCACUGACGCUGAGGAGCGAAAGCGUGGGGAGCGAACAGG